UACGUAGGUGGCAAGCGUUAUCCGGGUUUAUUGGGCGUAAAGAGAACGCAGGCGGUCUUUUAAGUCUGAUGUGAAAGCCUUCGGCUUAACCGGAGUAGUGCAUUGGAAACUGGGAGACUUGAGUGCAGAAGAGGAGAGUGGAACUCCAUGUGUAGCGGUGGAAUGCGUAGAUAUAUGGAAGAACACCAGUGGCGAAAGCGGCUCUCUGGUCUGUAACUGACGCUGAGGUUCGAAAGCGUGGGUAGCAAACAGG
rnacentral:rRNA from 1 species